rnacentral:rRNA from 1 species
CCUACGGGAGGCUGCAGUGAGGAAUAGUGGUCAAUGGACGGAAGUCUGAACCAGCCAUGCCGCGUGCAGGAAGACGGCGCGAUGAGUGGUAAACUGCUUUUGUACAAGGGUAAACCGGAAUACGUGUAUUCAGCUGAAAGUACUGUACGAAUAAGGAUGGGCUAACACCGGGCCAGCAGCCGCGGUAAUACGGAGGAUCCAAGCGUUAUCCGGAUUUAUUGGGUUUAAAGGGUGCGUCGGCGGAUUGCUAAGUUAGAGGUGAAAUGUCAGAGCUUAACUCGGGAACUGCCUCUCAUACGGGUGAUCUAGAGCGUAGAUGCGUUAGGCGGAAUGUCUGGUGUAGCGGU